rnacentral:rRNA from 1 species
CAUGGCUCAGAACGAACGCUGGCGGCAUGCCUAACACAUGCAAGUCGAACGAAGGCUUCGGCCUUAGUGGCGCACGGGUGAGUAACACGUGGGAACCUGCCUUUCGGUUCGGAAUAACGUCUGGAAACGGACGCUAACACCGGAUACGUCCUUCGGGAGAAAGUUUACGCCGAGAGAGGGGCCCGCGUCGGAUUAGGUAGUUGGUGUGGUAACGGCGCACCAAGCCGACGAUCCGUAGCUGGUCUGAGAGGAUGAUCAGCCACACUGGGACUGAGACACGGCCCAGACUCCUACGGGAGGCAGCAGUGGGGAAUAUUGGACAAUGGGCGCAAGCCUGAUCCAGCAAUGGCCGCGUGAGUGAUGAAGGCCUUAGGGUUGUAAAGCUCUUUCGCACGCGACGAUGAUGACGGUAGCGUGAGAAGAAGCCCCGGCUAACUUCGUGCCAGCAGCCGCGGUAAUACGAAGGGGGCUAGCGUUGUUCGGAAUUACUGGGCGUAAAGGGCGCGUAGGCGGCCUGUUUAGUCAGAAGUGAAAGCCCCGGGCUCAACCUGGGAAUAGCUUUUGAUACUGGCAGGCUUGAGUUCCGGAGAGGAUGGUGGAAUUCCCAGUGUAGAGGUGAAA